rnacentral:rRNA from 1 species
CCUACGGGAGGCAGCAGUGAGGAAUAUUGGUCAAUGGACGCAAGUCUGAACCAGCCAUGCCGCGUGCAGGAAGACGGCUCUAUGAGUUGUAAACUGCUUUUGUACGAGGGUAAACGCAGAUACGCGUAUCUGUCUGAAAGUAUCGUACGAAUAAGGAUCGGCUAACUCUGUGCCAGCAGCCGCGGUAAUACGGAGGAUUCAAGCGUUAUCCGGAUUUAUUGGGUUUAAAGGGUGCGUAGGCGGUCGGAUAAGUUAGAGGUGAAAUCCCGAGGCUCAACUUCGGAAUUGCCUCUGAUACUGGUCGGCUAGAGAGUAGUUGCGGUAGGCGGAAUGUAUGGUGUAGCUGUGAAAUGCUUAGAGAUCAUACAGAACACCGAUUGCGAAGGCAGCUUACCAAGCUACUUCUGACGUUGAGGCACGAAAGCGUGGGGAGCAAACAGGAUUAGAUACCCCGGUAGUC